rnacentral:rRNA from 1 species
GCAGGCAGUAGGAAUCUUCGCAAUUGAACGAAAGUUCUGACGGAGCAACGCCGCGUGAGUGAUGAAGGUUUUUCGGAUCGUAAGGCUCUGUGGUUAGGGAAGAACAAGUGCGAGAGUAACUGCUCGCACCUUGACGUACCUAACCAAGAAAGCCACGGCUAACUACGUGCCAGCAGCCGCGGUAAUACGUAGGUGGCAAGCGUUGUCCGGAAUUAUUGGGCGUAAAGGGCUCGCAGGCGGUUUCUUAAGUCUGAUGUGAAAGCCCCCGGCUCAACCGGGGAGGGUCAUUGGAAACUGGGAAACUUGAGUGCAGAAGAGGAGAGUGGAAUUCCACGUGUAGCGGUGAAAUGCGUAGAGAUGUGGAGGAACACCAGUGGCGAAGGCGACUCUCUGGUCUGUAACUGACGCUGAGGAGCGAAAGCGUGGGGAGCGAACAGGAUUAGAUACCCUGGUAGUCCACGCCGUAAACGAUGAGUGCUAAGUGUUAGGGGGUUUCCGCCCCUUAGUGCUGCAGCUAACGCAUUAAGCACUCCGCCUGGGGAGUACGGUCGCAAGACUGAAACUCAAAGGAAUUGACGGGGGCCCGCACAAGCGGUGGAGCAUGUGGUUUAAUUCGAAGCAACGCGAAGAACCUUACCAGGUCUUGACAUCCUCUGACAACCCUAGAGAUAGGGCUUUCCCUUCGGGGACAGAGUGACAGGUGGUGCAUGGUUGUCGUCAGCUCGUGUCGUGAGAUGUUGGGUUAAGUCCCGCAACGAGCGCAACCCUUGAUCUUAGUUGCCAGCAUUUAGUUGGGCACUCUAAGGUGACUGCCGGUGACAAACCGGAGGAAGGUGGGGAUGACGUCAAAUCAUCAUGCCCCUUAUGACCUGGGCUACACACGUGCUACAAUGGACAGAACAAAGGGCUGCGAGACCGCAAGGUUUAGCCAAUCCCAUAAAUCUGUUCUCAGUUCGGAUCGCAGUCUGCAACUCGACUGCGUGAAGCUGGAAUCGCUAGUAAUCGCGGAUC